rnacentral:rRNA from 1 species
GAUGAACGCUGGCGGCGUGCUUAAUACAUGCAAGUCGAGCGAACAGACGAGGAGCUUGCUCCUCUGACGUUAGCGGCGGACGGGUGAGUAACACGUGGAUAACCUACCUAUAAGACUGGGAUAACUUCGGGAAACCGGAGCUAAUACCGGAUAAUAUAUUGAACCGCAUGGUUCAAUAGUGAAAGACGGUGUUGCUGUCACUUAUAGAUGGAUCUGCGCCGCAUUGGCUAGUUGGUAAGGUAACGGCUUACCAAGGCAACGAUGCGUAGCCGAACUGAGAGGCUGAUCGCCCACCCUGGACGUUGGACAGCGACCAUACUCCUGCGGGAGGCCGCAGUAGGGAAUGUGCCGCAAUAGGCGGGAGCAUUACGGAGCAACGCCACGUGAGAGACGACGGUCUUCGGAUCGUAAAACUCUGUUAUUAGGGGAGAACAAAUGUGUAAGGAACUAAGCACGUCUUGACGGUACCUAAUCAGAAAGCCACGGCUAACUACGUG